rfam:Loxodonta africana unplaced genomic scaffold scaffold_13, whole genome shotgun sequence.
GCAUUGGUGGUUCAGUGGUAGAAUUCUCACCUUUCAUGCAGGAGAUCUGGGUUCAAUUCUUGGCCAAUGUA